rnacentral:rRNA from 1 species
UACAGAGGUGGCAAGCGUUGUUCGGAAUUACUGGGCGUAAAGGGCGCGUAGGCGGUCCUGUAAGUCCCGUGUGAAAUCCCCCGGCUCAACUGGGGAAUGGCACGGGAGACUGCGGGGCUUGAGUUCGGGAGAGGGAAGCGGAAUUCCGGGUGUAGCGGUGAAAUGCGUAGAUAUCCGGAGGAACACCGGUGGCGAAGGCGGCUUCCUGGACCGACACUGACGCUAAGGCGCGAAAGCUAGGGGAGCAAACGGGAUUAGAUACCCCGGUAGUCCUAGCUGUAAACGAUGAGUGCUGGGUGUGGGGGGUAUUAAACCCCUCCGUGCCGAAGCUAACGCAUUAAGCACUCCGCCUGGGGAGUACGGUCGCAAGGCUGAA